UUGUCUGUCCAUCGUUGUAAUCGUAACGUGUUAUAAAAUCUACGCGGUUAAACUGUGGUUUAAGUUAAAGUAGUUAAAUAAACUAUUUAUGUUAUUAUUUCUUAAUUAUUAUUAUGAAUAUUUGAACUAUAAGUUGUGAAAGUUAUUUGUAUCGACAUAUCUAUCAUUCAAGAUGAAGAAAUGUGUGUACGUUUUUUAAAACGAGUGAUUUAUUACCUAAUAAAUAAACGUGUAAUAAUAAAUAUAGCUGUCACCAAGGCCGUACGUAGAGAUGGAUUUUGGGGGUUCAACCUCCCCACAAAAUGUUUUCUGAAUGGCAUUUCACAAUCAUCAUAACUCAUAAGAAAGAAGACGGUCGAUGGAUGGGCCUUUUGUUCUUAAUUUGAUCUGAAAAAAUAGAGAAGGAUGCAGUUUACAACAUUUAAGCUUCCAUUAAUGGGGACACCGCGGGACGAAUGGUGAGCAGACUCAUUGGUUACAUCAUCAUAAUUGAUUGUUGCAGAUAUGGUGAGUGGGCACGUGACCAAUAUAUGGAUAUACGAGCACGU